AUUGAGCGCUGGCGGCAGGCCUAACACAUGCAAGUCGAGCGGAUGAAGGGAGCUUGCUCCUGGAUUCAGCGGCGGACGGGUGGGUAAUGCCUAGGAAUCUGCCUGGUAGUGGGGGAUAACGUCCGGAAACGGGCGCUAAUACCGCAUACGUCCUGAGGGAGAAAGUGGGGGAUCUUCGGACCUCACGCUAUCAGAUGAGCCUAGGUCGGAUUAGCUAGUUGGUGGGGUAAAGGCCUACCAAGGCGACGAUCCGUAACUGGUCUGAGAGGAUGAUCAGUCACACUGGAACUGAGACACGGUCCAGACUCCUACGGGAGGCAGCAGUGGGGAAUAUUGGACAAUGGGCGAAAGCCUGAUCCAGCCAUGCCGCGUGUGUGAAGAAGGUCUUCGGAUUGUAAAGCACUUUAAGUUGGGAGGAAGGGCAGUAAGUUAAUACCUUGCUGUUUUGACGUUACCAACAGAAUAAGCACCGGCUAACUUCGUG
rnacentral:rRNA from 1 species